rnacentral:SRP_RNA from 1 species
CGUCGGAUCCCAUGGCGGGUCGGUCGUGAAUCGGGUCAGGUCCGGAAGGAAGCAGCCCUAAGCGCCCCGGCUCGGGUGUGGGCUCUCCGGCGGGA